ACUACAGUAAGAGUUUGAUCAUGGCUCAGAACGAACGCUGGCGGCAGGCCUAACACAUGCAAGUCGAACGCUCCGCAAGGGGAGUGGCGCACGGGAGAGUAACGCGUGGGGACCUACCUAUUGGUUCGGGACAACACCGGGAAACUGGUGCUAAUACCGGAUAAGCCCGCAAGGGGAAAGAUUUAUCGCCGAUAGAUGGGCCCGCGUUAGAUUAGCUAGUUGGUGAGGUAACGGCUCACCAAGGCUACGAUCUAUAGCUGGUCUGAGAGGAUGAUCAGCCUCACUGGGACUGAGACACGGCCCAGACUCCUACGGGAGGCAGCAGUGGGGAAUAUUGCGCAAUGGGCGAAAGCCUGACGCAGCGACGCCGCGUGUGGGAUGACGGCCUUCGGGUUGUAAACCACUGUCGGGAGGGACGAAGAUCUGACGGUACCUCCAAAGGAAGCACCGGCUAACUCUGUGCCAGCCGCCGCGGUAAUAC
rnacentral:rRNA from 1 species